rnacentral:rRNA from 1 species
GAUGAACGCUGACGGCGUGCCUAACACAUGCAAGUCGAGCGGGAAACUUCGGUUUCCAGCGGCGGACGGGUGAGUAACACGUGGGCAACCUGCCUCACAAUGAGAGAUAGCCUUCCGAAAGGGAGAUUAAUACCUCAUAACACAAGAGAAACGCAUGUUUCGUUUGCCAAAGAAUUUCGUUGUGAGAUGGGCCCGCGGCGCAUUAGCUAGUUGGUGAGGUAACGGCUCACCAAGGCUUCGAUGCGUAGCCGACCUGAGAGGGUGAUCGGCCACAUUGGAACUGAGACACGGUCCAGACUCCUACGGGAGGCAGCAGUGGGGAAUAUUGCACAAUGGAGGAAACUCUGAUGCAGCAACGCCGCGUGAGUGAUGAAGGUCUUCGGAUUGUAAAGCUCUGUCUUCUGGGACGAUAAUGACGGUACCAGAGGAGGAAGCCACGGCUAACUACGUGCCAGCCGCCGCCGUAA